rnacentral:rRNA from 1 species
GCACAAGCGGUGGAGCAUGUGGUUCAAUUCGAAGCAACGCGCAGAACCUUACCAGCCCUUGACAUGUCCCGUAUGAGUACCAGAGAUGGAACUCUUCAGUUCGGCUGGCGGGAACACAGGUGCUGCAUGGCUGUCGUCAGCUCGUGUCGUGAGAUGUUGGGUUAAGUCCCGCAACGAGCGCAACCCUCGCUCUUAGUUGCCAUCAUUUAGUUGGGCACUCUAAGGGGACUGCCGGUGAUAAGCCGCGAGGAAGGUGGGGAUGACGUCAAGUCCUCAUGGCCCUUACGGGCUGGGCUACACACGUGCUACAAUGGCGGUGACAGUGGGAUGCAGAGGGGUAACCCCGAGCAAAUCUCAAAAAGCCGUCUCAGUUCGGAUUGUGCUCUGCAACUCGAGCACAUGAAGUUGGAAUCGCUAGUAAUCGCAGAUCAGCACGCUGCGGUGAAUACGUUCCCGGGC